rnacentral:misc_RNA from 1 species
AAAGAGUACGGGGGUCCGCCUCCGACGCUCCAACCCCAUGUGUACGCUCCUUGUUGCUUUGGCGGGCCGACGACGCUCGUCGUCGCCGGCGAUCCGCCGGAUGGCGCCCGCCAGAGGUUCAGUCAAAACCUGCUUAUCGGUGCAGUCUGAGCAAUCGUUCGAAACGUUA